UGACGUGCAAAUCGGUCGUCCGACCUGGGU
rnacentral:piRNA from 6 species